rnacentral:rRNA from 1 species
ACCGAACGCUGGCGGCAUGCAUAACACAUGCACGUCGAACGAAAGCCUCGGCCUUACUCGCGCACGGGUGCGUACCGCGUGGGAAUCUGCCCCUCGCUUCGGAAUGAAAGUUAGAACUGACUGAUAAUCCAGGAUGAUGACUUCGGUCCUAAGAUUUAUCGCCGAGGGAUGAGCCCGCGUAAGAUUAGGUGGUUGGUGGUGUAAAGGCAUACCAAGCCGACGAUCUUUAGCUGGUCUGAGAGGAUGAUCAGCCACACUGGGACGGAGACACGGCCCAGACUCGUACGGGAGGCAGCAGGGGGGAAUAUUGGACGAUGGGGGAAAGCCUGAUCCAGAAAUGCCGGGUGAGUGAUGAAGGCCUUAGGGUUGUAAAGCUCUUUUACCAGGGAUGAUAAUGACAGUACCUGGAGAAUAAGCUCCGGCUAACUCCGUGCCAGCAGCCGCCGUAA